rnacentral:rRNA from 1 species
UACGGGGGGGGCAAGCGUUGUUCGGAAUUACUGGGCGUAAAGGGCUCGUAGGUGGCCAACUAAGUCGGACGUGAAAUCCCUCAGCUUAACUGGGGAACUGCGUCCGAUACUGGGUGGCUUGAGUUUGGGAGAGGGAUGCGGAAUUCCAGGUGUAGCGGUGAAAUGCGUAGAUAUCAGGAGGAACACCGGUGGCGAAGGCGGUUCUCUGGGCAUGUCCUGACGCUGAGGAGCGAAAGUGUGGGGAGCGAACAGG